GCGGCUCCCGGCGGGCUCCCGGCUAGACGCGCUGCGGCGGGGCGGACUCCCCCACUGAGAGCACAGGGCAGAUUUCGGCGGCCGCUGGAUGAGAGCCCUUCUUCGUCGGACACGGCCGCUCUCCCCCCCACGCUGGCUGCGGGAAGGAAAAGGGCAGAGCAUGCCACCGGCGGGGUAGGAAGGAAGGUACCAGCCCCUCCGCCUCUCCCGGCGGUAGCGAAGGCGAUGCUGCAGUGCGCUCCCUGGGCUCUCUUGCAGGUGUCAGGCUAUCACCCACAGCAGCCGCGAUCGCUGCCGUGACCAGCGCGGCCCCGGGUGGUCCGAGGCGACGAGCGGCGCGGGCCUGUACCCCUCUUUGGGGCGUCAGCAGCGGAAGGCGCUGCCCGUGCCCGCGGGGCCCCACGCGGCGGGCGGCUCCGCGCGGCGGAUGCGUGUGCAUGAGCUCUGCACCGAGCUGGCGCAGCAAGCGCCCCCGCUCCGCCACCUCCAUCUUCCAGGGCAGCAAGACCUCGCAGCACGAUCGCGACGGUGAACGCCGGAGCAGCGGCUCCGAGACUGCCUACCAGACCCAGAGAGGCCUGGAUGACUGCAAGAUGCUUGUCCAGGAGUUCAAUACCCAGGUGGCUCUAUACCGGGAGUUGGUCAUUUCCACUGGGGAUCUCAGUCACCUGUCCAUCUCUGCAUGCAGAAAUGCACAAAACUCGAACGCAAGGAUGUGAGGUGGCCUAUCAGGCUCAUCAAAAACUAGCAGCAAUUUCUGGGGACCCUUCACUGAACAGUCCCACUGGAUCGGAGGGUGGUUCGACUGCCUUGUUCAGGGAAACACGCCAACAGCAUCAGGGGGACCCCUCAGGGGGUCUUCCCACUUUAUUUGAAUAUGUUACCCGCUGCCAGUGACUGCUAGUGCCCUGAAGGACUAACAUUAACAGUUUAUGGAAUACCACUCUUUAUUAAUAUAAAAUCGUGACAGAACAAGGUUCAAAGAUUGCCGGUGAUAAAUACACUGACUGCAAAGCAAGCUUUAAACAAUAUAUCUAUUAACAGCUAACAUACGUUAGUCAUAGAAAAAAGUUCUUACCCAAUAGAUGUCCCUAUGGGGGAGAAGACAGGUUCAGCCUGUCAACUGAUCCCAGAAGUUACGAUGGAGUCUUCCCUAACUUCUCCCCUCAUCUGUCCACUUUUUAUACUUCAUAGUAUACUGCAUAUUCAUUCAUCAUACACAGGACCGGUUACAAGUUUCUUGCUUCUAAUGCAAAUUAGUACGCAUCCUCAGAUAGCACUACUGAAGUUCUCUGCUAACUACGCAUGCUCCUCAAGCGGGAUUUUGCCCUCUUUUGGGGGGGGCUAUUUGAGUUGGAGGUCACAAUGUUAUCGAUUUGUUAAUAAGUUAAGAUUGAUUGAUUUUAUUUGAUUAAUUGAUUUUAUAAAAUCAUUUAAUAAAAUUAAAAUAUAAAAGGAUAAGAAAAAAAUAUUUUUUUUUAUAAGAAACUUAUAGCUACACAGUAAAAGUUGUUAUGAGAUCUUCUGUACGUCCUGUACCAAGGCUAGAAGAAGGGGCUGGAACCAUUGUUAAAACAUAGGUAAUAACUUUAGGGUUGAAAGGUUUCUUUGUAUUUAACCAGUCUUCUGUAUGCAGAGGUGUAUUGAAAUGUCAGAAUAUGAGAUUAAUGGGAACUGGGGAGAGUCGACUGGAACAGCUUGUAGGUGCCUGCCAAGAAACUGUGAACUUUAGUAAAAGGUAAUUCCGGCAGGGGGAGAUCGCGACCACCGACUCAUAUACCACCUACCCAAAUCGUACCCCAGACCCAUUUCUAGACCUUUCUAAGCUCUACUGCGCAGAAUCGGAUAUAGGAGGAGAAUAUGUUAAUGAUUUAUGGGAAAUAUCAUGGUUAUGCAUGAAUACUUAAUGAAUAUGUAUGAAUAAGUUCUAUAUAUGGUGUCUGAUUUUGAGACCUGGCGUGCAUUGAUCGUGAGAGGACUCGCUCACGCACCCGGCCGUUAAUAAAGAAGUGUCUGCUUAUCUACAUCACAUUGGUGUCGAUAAGUUCUUCAUUCCGAGAUUUCGGUAACAACAAUCUCCCAGUACCACAAUUAUCUUUGCCCUAUUUUCAACUAAUUUUCUGUUGAUGUCAGUGGAUUGCAACACCUUAUCAUCCUGUUGCCUCUCAUAGCCAGAACUUUCCUCACUUGAAGGCUUCUUUCUGUGUAAUUUAGAUAAUGGUGUUCUUUUCACUAUCUGUUCUUUGUUUCUUGCGCUCCCCAAGGCUGACUCCCUUGAUUAGAGGUCCCUUCAUUCAUAACAACUUUAGAGUGGG